CGCGGGCUGUAUUAUAAAGCGUUACCAAAAUACCUUUCGCUCUACCUUAGAUGUUGUAGCACCCCUUAAACACAAAAUAGAGAGACAGAAAAAGCUCGCACCGUGGUACAAUGAUCAAACUCGUAACUUAAAGCAGUUAGUACGAAAUUUAGAGCGUAAAUAUCGAUCAACUAAACUGGAAGUGUUUCACUCUGCGUGGAAAGACAGUCUUGUUAAAUAUAGAAAAGAACUAAAUAAAGCCCGCUCAGCGUAUCUGGCCUCACAGAUCGAGAUAAAUAAAAAUAAUCCUAGAGUUCUCUUUAGUGUUGUAGCCCGGGUGACCAGUGAAGGAACGUUUGCGCAUGCUCACUGGAGUUGUAAUUUGGGCUGGCGUUAAAAGGGGCAGCUGUGGGUCCUUCCGAAGCAGAGCCGGGGUCCUCCCGAAAGCAGCGGUAGAAACACAUGGGAUUGCGGAUGGCAACGCUGUGAGUGUGUUUGGGGUGAGAGAAGAAGUACUCGCGCUGGAUGGCCGGCAUGUGUGACGGCAGUAUACAGUGGGGACGGCGGUUGGUGCCCGUUACUGACUGCCCACCUGUCUGACCCGAUACCGAGGGAUGUUGGACCCUCAGGCUCUCAUGUCCUCUGUCUGGCCAGACUGGAAGUUUCUGAAGUCAGCUCUUCUCCAUCCACCACCACAGAUCAGCUGCUCAUCAUCCAUCUUACUCUAUAAGCCAUUAGUGGAGCUGCUAUACUCCUGAAUAUAUAAAACCUAUGUGGAUGUAUGAAAGAUUUUUUUUAAAUGAAUUUAAAAGCCAUUUGACCAGUGGUAGGAUGGUCCUCCCAAGGUUUCUUCCUCCUCCUCCAGCUCUGAGGGAGUUUUUCCUUGCCUCCGCGCUCACUGGGGGUUCUGUAUUUUGUAUAUUCUAUGUUUAAUCUUUUGUCUGACUCUUUGUCCUGUAAUCAUGUUUCUGUAAAGCUGCUUUGUGCCAACACCAGUUGUAAAAAGCGCUAUACAAAUAAAUUUGAUUUGAUUUGAUAAGUUUA